UACGUAGGGUGCAAGCGUUAAUCGGAAUUACUGGGCGUAAAGCGUGCGCAGGCGGUUACCUAAGCCAGGCGUGAAAUCCCCGGGCUUAACCUGGGAAUUGCGCUUGGGACUGGGUGGCUAGAGUGCGGCAGAGGGAGGUGGAAUUCCACGUGUAGCAGUGAAAUGCGUAGAGAUGUGGAGGAACACCGAUGGCGAAGGCAGCCUCCUGGGCCAGCACUGACGCUCAUGCACGAAAGCGUGGGGAG
rnacentral:rRNA from 1 species